GACGAACGCUGGCGGCAUGCCUAAUACAUGCAAGUCGAGCGAACAGAUGAAGUGCUUGCACUUCUGACGUUAGCGGCGAACGGGUGAGUAACACGUAGGGAAUCUACCUAUAAGCGGGGGAUAACAUUCGGAAACGGGUGCUAAUACCGCAUAACAUCUUCUUCCGCAUGGAAGAAGAUUGAAAGACGGCUCUGCUGUCACUUAUAGAUGACCUUGCGGUGCAUUAGUUAGUUGGGGGGGUAAUGGCCUACCAAGACGAUGAUGCAUAGCCGACCUGAGAGGGUGAUCGGCCACAUUGGGACUGAGACACGGCCCAAACUCCUACGGGAGGCAGCAGUAGGGAAUCUUCCGCAAUGGGCGAAAGCCUGACGGAGCAAUGCCGCGUGAGUGAAGAAGGCCUUCGGGUCGUAAAACUCUGUUAUAAGAGAAGAACAAAUUGUAGAGUAACUGCUACAGUCUUGACGGUAUCUUAUCAGAAAGCCACGGCUAACUACGUGCCAGCCGCCGCCGUAA
rnacentral:rRNA from 1 species